rnacentral:rRNA from 1 species
AGUGAACGCUGGCGGUAGGCCUAACACAUGCAAGUCGAACGGCAGCACAGGAGAGCUUGCUCUCUGGGUGGCGAGUGGCGGACGAGUGAGGAAUACAUCGGAAUCUACUCUGUCGUGGGGGAUAACGUAGGGAAACUUACGCUAAUACCGCAUACGACCUACGGGUGAAAGCAGGGGAUCUUCGGACCUCGCGCGAUUGAAUGAGCCGAUGUCGGAUUAGCUAGUUGGCGGGGUAAAGGCCCACCAAGGCGACGAUCCGUAGCUGGUCUGAGAGGAUGAUCAGCCACACUGGAACUGAGCCACGGUCCAGACUCCUACGGGAGGCAGCAGUGGGGAAUAUUGGACAAUGGGCGCAAGCCUGAUCCAGCCAUACCGCGUGGGUGAAGAAGGCCUUCGGGUUGUAAAGCCCUUUUGUUGGGAAAGAAAUCCAGCUGGCUAAUACCCGGUUGGGAUGACGGUACCCAAAGAAUAAGCACCGGCUAACUUCGUGCCAGCAGCCGCGGUAA